rnacentral:lncRNA from 1 species
GAACUGUUAGCGUGGGUGUGUGCACUAUUAAAACAAGGCUCAGACUCCUCCGGGUGACUCACUCUGAUGCUCGCUUUUCCAUGCUGAAAACCAGCACGGAUUGUUAAUCAGAUGAACUUUCGGGAAUUGUGUAGCCGACAGCGAGCAGCUCUCCCCCCGCAGACAUCAUGGCUUUAAACGCUCUCUGCGCGCUCUGCGGAUUUAUUAUAGCAGCUGUGACCAAUUUCUAUGUUGUGAGCGCACAGAAAAGUCAAUGCGGCAGUUUAGAGUUUUGGAACUCAGAUUUGGACGUCUGUGUGCCGUGUGCGUCGUGCAAGCAGUACCCAAAGACCCCGUCAUGCAACACAUGUAAAUAUGAGGAUGAGACACCUGACGUGUGGAAACUCGCAGCCAUCGCAAGCUUCUCCGUGCUGGCUGUCGUGCUGGUCGGUGCUGCGCUGAUUAUCGGUGUCAUGGUGCAUCGACGGAAGUCGCACAAACGGCCUCUACGUGAACCCAUUGAAGAAACGGCGGGGCCACUUUACCAAGCUUAAACAAUACA